GUCCUAAUGCCUGUCCGUUCCCAGGACGCUGGCAGCGGCAGCCCGGAGCCCCCGAGCCCUCGGCAGGUCUGCCUGUCCUUCCCGGCGAUCUGAUUGGAUAAAGUGGGGGCUCGACGGUGGCCGACGCGGGACAGUCUGGCUGUGGCAGGGGUCUCGGAAACCAUGGGUUAUUGCAAUGGCAGGUGCACGCUGAUCUUUAUCUGUGGCAUGCAACUGGUUUGUGUGCUGGAGAGGCAAAUAUUUGACUUCCUUGGAUAUCAGUGGGCACCUAUCCUGGCAAAUUUUGUACAUAUUAUUAUCGUCAUUCUUGGUUUAUUUGGAACUAUUCAAUAUAGACCUCGUUACAUAAAAGGAUAUGCUGUCUGGCUAGUCCUCUGGGUUACGUGGAAUGUGUUUGUUAUCUGCUUCUACCUGGAGGCCGGGGACCUCUCAAAGGAAACAGACCUUAUCCUGACUUUUAAUAUUUCAAUGCACCGAUCUUGGUGGAUGGAGAAUGGACCAGGAUGUAUGGUGACAUCAGUGACACCCGCCCCAGACUGGGCCCCAGAAGACCAUCGCUACAUCACGGUCUCGGGGUGUGUUCUGGAGUACCAGUACAUAGAAGUGGCUCAUAGUUCCCUCCAGAUUGUCCUCGCACUGGCAGGGUUCAUCUACGCCUGUUAUGUUGUGAAAUGUAUAACUGAAGAAGAGGACAGCUUUGAUUUCAUAGGUGGCUUUGAUUCUUAUGGCUAUCAAGGGCCUCAGAAGACAUCUCAUUUACAACUGCAGCCUAUGUACAUGCAAAUUCCCUUGGAUAACAACUGAUAACAAAUUCUAUAUAUCAGCAUCAACUCAUAUGCUGAAUUGCAAGCGAAGAUCAAAAUAGAAAGUCGAAAUAAUACAUAUGGCUUCAUAAUGUCAGCUCCUGGACCUUACAAAAAAAAACUUGUUUCGCAGUGGCCUCCUGCAUUUUAUGAAGAGCAAGAAGCAACUGAGUUUAAAUAUACAUACAUUUUGACAAAACAAACACCAAGCCUCACAUACCAAACACCAAGCCUCACAUACACCAGGGCACGCGUGCGCGCGCGCACACACACACACACACACACACACACACACACACACACUGAGACACACACCAGUUCCACUUGGCCUCCUCUUCCUAACUGAAACAGACAAAUAUGCAGGACACGCCCAGCUCGGAUUUCCUGAAAGCAGGCUUCUUUCUCCCAGGCCUUUGGGAAGUUCAAAAGGAGACGUGUUGGUGCCCUCUGCUGGCCGUCACUAACUCCUCUGCCGCUCAGCCCGUGGGCCUCUGGGAGCUGUCAAGUCAUCCAGGGCAAAGUAGCUUGAGAGUCCUGUCUUCUGCACUCCAGACAUCUUGAUAGCACCACAGCUCCGUAGGCAACAGAAUUGCAAACACCAACAAACAAAACGUGCCAUGAUGACCUGGUAACCAAAGUCUGAAAUGGCAGGUUGUUUGCCCUAAAGGCUGUCCCGUACAUACUUGCCUUAACCCACCUAAGUUGUGCGCCCGAGAAUCUCAGUGCAGACAUCCCCAAGUCACUUCCUUUAGGCUAACACACUGCUAUUAAUUCCGAAUGAGUUCGAGUCUGUAUGUUUUAUGUCAAGAAACCAGACUGAAGAGCCCAGCAGCUCCAGUGUGUCUGUGUACGAAAACUGCCAGCUGUCAGCAAAGUGCUUUACCAUUGAGCCUCCACAGUGGCCAAAAAGAGACAAGUACCAAUAACAACAACAAUCAUCAUCAUCACCUUUAUAAUUCUUAAACAUGGGCUUCUGAUGGGGUUGGGCAGGGGCAAAGUAAAACUUAAUAAUCUACUAACAUCAUUUAUCUACUGGAAGCAGAAAUGGCAUAACUCACUGACUUUAUUUAUCGCACUCUAGGUGCUUUUAUAAGUAUCUACAAAUGUCUUUUACUAACACAGAAACAGCUGUGGAUUUCUAUCAACAGAGGCCAACUGAAUAUGUAUUAGCGAUGUUUACUCUUUUAUAUCUAAUUCAAAUUGAAGACCCUAUGUAGGUGAACUUUUUUUCCUAACUUCCAGCGUAUGAGAUUAUUUUUGGGGUGGGCGGGGCGGGGGAGCAAUAGUUAUCUUGGUGACAUAUUUGAGAUCUCUUUGUGGUGAUUGGGGGAUCCGUUGUGUGGUAGAGUGUAUUUGAAUCCUCCUGUAUUAUUGUGGCAGAAAAACUGUGCUGUUAACGUAGUUGGCAACAAGAUGCCUUUGGAAACUUAAUAGUAGGUCACUGUGUUUAUGAAAUAUUCUGAAUUUCUAGGAAAUUUUGUUCUAUAUAUUCAAGCAUUAUUUGGUUUUCAUUAGUGGAAAACAUAAUUAGCUCAGGCUUGUCAGGAACUCAGAUGAGUCACGUUUUUUUCUUGGAUCCACCUGAGACAUUAAAAACAAAUUUUUUUAAACAAAUAUACCAUCCUUAAGUGCAGCGAAAUUCAGACUUGAAACGUUAUGCAUUGGCAUGAAGCAACUUUUUCUCUUGGUUUCUAUGAAGUUUCAGUUAUUGGGUUAACCUACUUUGGACCUUAUCCCAUCCGGAACUACAUAAACCAUUCCCAUGACUGUGUUGCAUGGAUAUCAAUGAUACACACGCAUAUACACUUGAAAACGAUCAAGGAACAAAGGUUGCUAUUGAAACGUAAACUACAAAAAGGGGUUCCAGCACUUGUGCUUGAAUUUUCUCAGUGGCUUGUAUGUGUUUGUCCAUACAUACAUGUAAUAAAAGACAGGAUUACAAACAUGUCAGUGAAACCUCACCUAACCAUUUUAUAGUGGCAUGCAUGUUUCAUAUAUGAGAAAAACAUUUACCAAUGUCCUGUCCUUUGAUUCUUAAAAUAUAAAUACUCUACAUGCCAGAAACUACUCUAAUGUAACUAUUAAUGUGACAAUUAAAAUGAGGUUUCACUGUACAUUCAUGCUGUGAUCAGAUUCCUCCUUCCAGGACAUGUAUGUGGAUAAGAACUGAAAUGCACAGAGAAGAAGCCCUCAUCUUCCUCCUUUAAGUUGCAGCCAACUUGCCACCUAACCACUACUAUCAUCGCCACCAAAAUUUUUCAAAACCAGUUGUUGACUACUAAAAGGAAUCAGUGGACAGGUCGUUGCUGGGAGCAGUGAGCACAGUCGUGUGAUUACAUCUGGAAAAGCAAGUUGUACAGCUGUAUCCUCCUCAAGACCCGGUGAAGAAUGCUAUUUUUCUAGGCUGAGCUUUUGUUAUAAACCUAAUAUUCAGAAGGCAAGAGUUACAAACCUGAUGUGUCUUUUUCUUCCUUUCCUUUUUUGCGUUUAUUAAUUCUGAAUGUAUUUUUAACAGAGUGAUUUUUUUGACUUACCAGUGUAAUUUGCAUUUUAAAAAUAAAUGGAAAAACAAUCACG